AGAGUUUGAUCCUGGCUCAGAUUGAACGCUGGCGGCAUGCCUUACACAUGCAAGUCGAACGGCAGCACGGGAGCAAUCCUGGUGGCGAGUGGCGAACGGGUGAGUAAUGUAUCGGAACGUACCUUUCAGUGGGGGAUAACGUAGCGAAAGUUACGCUAAUACCGCAUAUUCUGUGAGCAGGAAAGCAGGGGAUCGCAAGACCUUGCGCUGAUUGAGCGGCCGAUAUCAGAUUAGCUAGUUGGUGAGGUAAAGGCUCACCAAGGCGACGAUCUGUAGCGGGUCUGAGAGGAUGAUCCGCCACACUGGAACUGAGACACGGUCCAGACUCCUACGGGAGGCAGCAGUGGGGAAUUUUGGACAAUGGGGGCAACCCUGAUCCAGCAAUGCCGCGUGAGUGAAGAAGGCCUUCGGG
rnacentral:rRNA from 1 species